AUCCAAAGUGACUCCCUUUCCAAGGGGCCUGCUCAUGCCCCUCUUCAGGGAAGUAGCAACUUGGAAUAAAAUCUGGCAUGCCUUAGGUUGUUGGAAGAGACAAACCUUUGUUUCCUUUGCCUUCCUUUGGCUGCCUACACAU
rnacentral:snoRNA from 1 species